GUUUCUCUCUCUCUCUCUCUCUUACGGCGAUUCAGAAACACGAAGCUAUCUUCACCAGAUCUGUUUGAGAUUUUGCUUUCUUCGGCUGCUAUUGAUGGUGGUUGUCUGGUUAAGUUGGCAUUCCGACCACUCGACAACCGUAAGAUCGACGGAGAAGAGGUGCAACUGACACUUUUAGAUCUACGGCCCCCAAACCCUAAUGCGUUCAAACAUUCAGAUCUGGUAUAAGAUCGACGGAGAAGAGGUGCCACUGACCCUUUUAGAUCUACGGCCCCCAAACCCUAAUGCGUUCAAACAUUCAGAUCUGGUAUAAGGUCAUGAUUUUGUUGCAAAACAUGACUUAACGAAGAUGAAUCAUGUGGUUUGUUCGAAGCCUAGGCAAGUCAACCUCUUCAGUUCCACCUUGAACGAGCCUGCUAUGAAUUGAAGAUGACAAAUGUGCUAUCAGCCAGCUGGACUUAUAUGAAUAUAAUUCAGGCCCAGACUGAGCAUGAAUUUAUGCACAAUAUUUCUGAGGAGGUCUGCUCUCAGUUACAUUCUGGAAAGUGAUCCGUUCAAUGAUAGCCAAAAAUGGUGUAAGAAAUUCACUACUUGUAGCACCAAUGCCAACUGCUUCAACAAGUCAAAUUCUUGGAAAUAACGAGUGUUUUGAGCCCUACACUUCCAACAUCUACAGCCGUCGGGUUUUAAGUGGUGAGUUUGUUGUGGUGAACAAGCAUUUGCUGCAUGAUUGAUAAUCUCACUAAGAGUAUAUCCCGCUAAUUGGAUCGGAUGAUGCAAGAUACAGUUUGUUGGGAGUGACCAACUUUGAAUAAUGAAGCGACUUCUUUUUUUGAUCGAGCCGAGCUUAUAAAAAAGUGAAUUUGGAUCGAGCUGGUGAGGUAUUGAAGGAGAUUAUGUCGGUUCGAAAGACGAUCGAGCAGGUGAAGCUUGUGACGAUGGAAGCUCAGAUGGUUGAAAAUUCUUUAGGCAUACAUGGAGAUGAAAUAUUGUAUGUUGGCGAUCGUAUAUACCCAGAUGUGAAUCAAACUGUUACCAAGGGUGAAUAGCAGCUCAUCAAAGGUGAAUGGCAAAUGACUUGGAGUUCACGGGUAUUUGCCACCUCAGACGAUAGCUAAUGAAGUAGCAUUCCAGCAGCAGGCGGAUUCGCCAAUGACGAUUUCUAGGAAUAUAACUGAAAGUGAUCAUGAGAUGUCAGUGGAUGAUAGAAGUGGUUUGGAUUCAAGGGAGUUAUUGACGGUUC